AUUGAACGCUAGCGGGAUGCCUUACACAUGCAAGUCGAACGGAGUGGCGAACGGGUGAGUAAUGUAUCGGAACGUGCCCAGUAGCGGGGGACAACUACGCGAAAGCGUAGCUAAUACCGCAUACUAUUGGAGCGGCCGAUAUCGGAUUAGCUGUUUGGGGGGGUAACGGCUCACCAAGGAGACGAUCCGGAGCUGGUUUGAGAGGACGACCAGCCAGACUGGGACGGAGACACGGCCCAAAGUCUUACGGGAGGCAGCAGUGGGGAAUUUUGGACAAUGGGGGAAACCCUGAUCCAUCCAUCCCGCGUGGGCGAUGAAGGCCUUCGGGUUGUAAAGCACUUUUGGCAGGAAAGCGGUACCUGCAGAGUAAGCACCGGCUAACUACGUGCCAGCAGCCGCGGUAAUAC
rnacentral:rRNA from 1 species